rnacentral:rRNA from 1 species
UACGGAGGGUGCAAGCGUUAUCCGGAUUCACUGGGUUUAAAGGGUGCGUAGGCGGGCAGGUAAGUCAGUGGUGAAAGCCUGGAGCUCAACUCCAGAACUGCCUUUGAAACUAGGUCGCUAGAACAUCGGAGAGGUGAGUGGAAUUCCGAGUGUAGAGGUGAAAUUCGUAGAUAUUCGGAAGAACACCAGUGGCGAAGGCGGCUCACUGGACGAUUGUUGACGCUGAGGCACGAAAGCGUGGGGAGCAAACAGG